rnacentral:rRNA from 1 species
AACGAACGCUGGCGGCAGGCUUAACACAUGCAAGUCGAGCGCGUAGCAAUACGAGCGGCAGACGGGUGAGUAACGCGUGGGAAUCUACCGUACCCUAUGGAAUAGCUCCGGGAAACUGGAAGUAAUACCAUAUACGCCCGAAAGGGGAAAGAUUUAUCGGGGUAUGAUGAGCCCGCGUUGGAUUAGCUAGUUGGUGGGGUAAAGGCCUACCAAGGCGACGAUCCAUAGCUGGUCUGAGAGGAUGAUCAGCCACAUUGGGACUGAGACACGGCCCAAACUCCUACGGGAGGCAGCAGUGGGGAAUAUUGGACAAUGGGCGCAAGCCUGAUCCAGCCAUGCCGCGUGAGUGAUGAAGGUCUUAGGAUUGUAAAGCUCUUUCACCGAUGAAGAUAAUGACGGUAGUCGGAGAAGAAGCCCCGGCAAACUUCGUGCCAGCCGCCGCCGUAAAAC